rnacentral:rRNA from 1 species
AUUGAACGCUGGCGGCAUGCCUUACACAUGCAAGUCGAACGGCAGCACGGGUGCUUGCACCUGGUGGCGAGUGGCGAACGGGUGAGUAAUACAUCGGAACAGGUCCUGUAGUGGGGGAUAGCCCGGCGAAAGCCGGAUUAAUACCGCAUACGAUCCACAGAGGAAAGCGGGGGACCGUCGGGCCUCUCCCUAUAGGGUUGGCCGAUGGCUGAUUAGCUAGUUGGUGGGGUAAAGGCCUACCAAGGCGACGAUCAGUAGCUGGUCUGAGAGGACGACCAGCCACACUGGGACUGAGACACGGCCCAGACUCCUACGGGAGGCAGCAGUGGGGAAUUUUGGACAAUGGGCGAAAGCCUGAUCCAGCAAUGCCGCGUGUGUGAAGAAGGCCUUCGGGUUGUAAAGCACUUUUGUCCGGAAAGAAAUCCUUGACUCUAAUACAGUCGGGGGAUGACGGUACCGGAAGAAUAAGCACCGGCUAACUACGUG